ACCCCCUGCCGGCCGUCUGUUUAUUCGCAAUCCGUUACAACCGUUUGUUGAUCCGGUUGUUGCCAUAGCAACUUCGCCACUCUCAAAGGCGAAUUCUUCAACCCUGUUUUCAUGCCCUUAUUUAGGGAUGGAACGACAGCCAAAUGAUGCACUCGGCGGCGGCAGGGCUAAUUGGAGGAACUCUUUAGUACUUCAAGAAGGCGCCCAUACCCAAAUUGCAGCCCUCGAUGUGAGCAGGACCAUGGACAGGCAAGAUUACAACCACGUUGUCCACCAAGCAGGCUCCCACGCGCAAUUAGUGGCAGUCAACUUGCACGGGGCAAUGGAUUCCAGCCACCUCAUCCACCAGUUGCAGCUAGGAAGAUUUUCGUGUGCAGUUGGAAAGGUUGUAGGGCCGAGUUCACUCUAUGUACCCAUUACGUCGGCACACCCGAAAGCACACGCGCGAAAAGCUGCACCAAAUGUGCAAAGUUGUUCUUCCAAAAGGACAACAACCUGGCUAACCAUGAAAAAGCAAAACACCCCGUACCAAACAAGAAAAAGAUGAAGAUAAACUGAAGGGUCAAGAUUAUUAUUAUCGGAAUAAGGCAUUUAUUCGAAAGGUUAUAGUUUACAAAUAAAGCUCUUAUACAUCAAGAUCAAGAGUAAAUGCUUUUUGUAAUUUAAACUGGCCGCACGGUGUCCAGCUGUCCAUGCAACAUGCGCAACGGUUUUUUCCCUUGUCCAUUUUGAAGGUCGGCAAUGGGCUUGAUGCUAGACUAAAAAUUUUCUAGAAAUGUUUUGAGCUGCGUCGAAGCUCAAUCUCGGUUGAUGUUGGCCACCUACUUCAUCCUCUUCUUGUGGCGAGAGUUGAAAGCUGUGUACUGUGUACAUAAAUGAUUUUUAAUAUCAAAAUUUAGUUUUAUGAUGUUUUUAUUGUAAAUAUAUUUAAAAUUUAGGUAGGCUCUAGUUCUGAAAAUUAGUGAUUUUAUAUAAAUUUUAUAUUAUUUUAAAAUAUAAUUCAUAUGUAGUUAAAGUUGCAAUUUUAAAGGUAAAGAAAACAACGAGAAGGUUGUUCUUCUUAAGUUUCUUUAUUAAAUAGAUUAUUUAAAACCUUGAAUUUGAACUUAAAAACAGCAAAAAGAACUAAGGUUACCUAUUUUUAUCACUUCGUAUAGUCGAACUUAAAAUGCUAAAUUUUUUGUUAAAAUCUUUAUACAGUUUUGUUAUCGGAGCGGUUUCUCCCGCGAUUUAGCUUCCGUCGCUGCUCAAGUUACAAAAGGGUACGAAGGCGCUGCCUGCUUUAGUGGCCAGUUGUGGUUGGAAAUGUGGCAAGGAUUAAUCAGACCUGUAGAUUGUAUUUUAUUCUUUGUUUUUUAUUCACGGCUCAAAAUUAUGAAAUAAACUCUUGCAUGAUAAAAUUGGUCUGCAUUGGACAAAUUUUGUGAAUUUUAACGCAACCAAAGUAAAACGCACGAGAGAGUGUCUAUUGCCGCUCAAAAUACAUCUUUCUCAUUCAAGUGCGAAAGUGUCGCGCCUAAAAAGACUGACACGCCUUGGGUCAGGACUCUGGGUUUGUCUGGUUUCCAAGGCUACGUGUCCGAAUGAAGAGGCUGCCGGACCGUUGAGACGGGACACCCCUGAGGGCAUCGACCGCCACCACUGCAGCCGCCGCCGCUGCUCGAGGCCCCCAGUACGCCUGCUGGCCGCCCGGCCCCGACCUGCAACUGCCUCCGGCUGGCCGCCGCUGUCGCCACCGUUGUUUGCUUAAGGUUAAGGUGUAGGAGUUAAAGUACACUCUCGCAAGGGCCCCGCCAGUGCCAGUGCCAGUGUGCCAACGAACCCCACAUAAAGACAAUACGAGGCCUCCGUCGUGCGCUCAAACAAUUUGCGUGUAAUUAGAAGUGAAUAACGCGAAAGUACACACUGAAUUUCAAUUUGAGUACAUAAUUUGUUUCAAUAAUUAGUCCGGCUGCUCGGACUUGUGAAAAUCUCUCCUCUUCCAACUAGAGUAGAAUCAGUCAACAAAAUUCCCCUUUAACAUGUUUCUCAUAUCCUCGACUGACAAAUGAACUAUAAUGCCCUAUCAUAAUAUAGACCAAAAUAAAUAACUUUGCCUGUAAAUAUUAUACAAUAUGCAACCAGGGCAUUGCGGGUGCUGCAUAUAUUCAACUCGAGCGUACGUCAAGUUUUUAAGUUGGUAGAAAGUAGAAAUCAACUUAGCGUGUUUCGUGUUUUUAUUAGAAAUAUCAUGCCAAUUCAAAUAUGAAUUUUCCUUCUUAUAGCUGUAUGAUGUGUGCUAGUAUGUGCUACUUCAUGGCUAAAAAAAAUCAAUGAAGUAACAGAGAAAUUCAGAAAUUGGUAUAGGUGAAGAUUAAUUUACAAAAAGACUUAUUUAUUUAUGAAAGAGGGACUUAAUUUUUAUACUAUAUAAAACUUGCAUCAUUUCAAUAAAAAAUCCACCACUUGAUUAAUUUUGAUCAGAAAUUUAAGUGUUAUGUGAGUAAAAAUUCAUAUAUAUUUUCUUUUUUCGUCACCAUCUGUGGAGGUGCACCGAAUGUGUGGCUUCUCCUUUUGUUUGCGACUCGUGUGGCUCAUGGGGCACUAUGUAAUCUUCUUGUCUGAAAAAUAAUAAUAAUUAAUUAACUUAAAAAAUGUAUAAUUAAAAUAAUCAUGCUCCAUAUUAUAUUUAAAUUGUUAAAUACUGUUUGGAAAGAAUAUAUAUAGUUUUUAAUUAACAAGCUGAAGCGUUGGUUAGUAUUAUAGUUAGUAAAUUACUUGGCAAGGGGCAAGCGGUGGUAAAACUUUGUCAUGCUCGCCCACUGACCAUCACAGAGGUCGUCAAAAGUCAUGUCCUCAAUGGUCCUUCCACCAAGGUCUCCAGGACCGCGGCAGGUAGGGCUUGUGUCCCAAACCUUGCGAUUGUUUCUGCGCAACCAACUGCAAAUAUUUAAUUUAAAUAAAUAAACAGUAAAAAAUAAAAUAACAAACAAGUAUGAGUCGGAAUAACUUUUAAGAGUAAUCAAAACUUAUUUUGUCUGACGAUUUUCACGUUGUUCUUGGGGGUUUUUUUAAUGACUAUUUGUUAACUUAAUUAGCAAAAAAAGUUUUCAUUGCGGAAACUAUCAGAGCUAAUGUAUUUUUAUAAAAUUUUCAGUUUGUUUUUUAAAAUGUUAUCAAACCCUGUUUUCUCAAAAUGAAAAUUACGUGGCCAAAUAGAGAAUGUUGCAAUCGCAGUGCCACGGAUUCUUCGCCAACUUGACCGAGACCAAUUUGACCAGAGGCUCAAAACAGUUCGCCGAUAGGAAAUGGAGCUUGUUGCUAUCCAGCUGUCUAAAUAUGGAACACGUUUGAUCAGCGUAAAUUAGCAAAUGUGUGCUUGAUGAGAUGCGUACAGUUUUCGCAAAUUCGGCACGUGUUCGAAGGCGUUCGCUCGCACGUCCUUAAGCAGAUUAUUGUUGAGCAUGAGCGAACUCAAAUUUCGCAGGCCCAUUAGCGCGGCGCCGUCAAUUCUCUCCAGGUUGUUGGAAAAGAGGAAAAGUUUCUCGAGCGACGCCAAUUUGGCAAAGGCGGCGUCAGGUAUCGCGUCUAGCUGGUUUUGACCUAAGUGUAACUCGACCAAUUUUUCCUGCGACAUGAAAUCUCCCGCGUCCAACUACAAAACAAGAGCUUUUUAAUAUUUUAGCUAUAACUGUGAUCUCUACAUGACUGAUCAAAAAUUAUUUUGAAUUUGUUAUUUAAAUAUCACUUCAAACUUUAUUCAACAAAUUGAUUGGGAUUGCCGUGAAUUAUGUGGCCAUCUUAAAAACGUUUUUUAGUGCAAAAGUUAGCAGCGUUAUUGGUGAUGUUGUUUCUCUUUUAUUAUAAACUAUGACCUUUUGUACGAGAGCCACUCUGGUUUUAUGCUUGCUCACCGUGGUCAGCCAGUUGGAGGCCAAAUCAAGAUUCUGCAGGUUGACGAGGGGUGCCAAAAGGCCCGCGGGCAACACGGUCAAGUGGUUUCUGUGCAGCUCCAACUGCUGGAGUGAGGACAAACCGGCAAAAAUUAGAGGGGGGAGCGCCUUAAGGUGGUUCUUUUGCAAACGCAGCGUCUUCAAACUGGAAAAAAGUGCAUUUUAUAGUUUAAUAAAAAAAACACAUUUUUUCCCACAAUUUUUUUCCUCUUAAAGACUUUGUAAUUCAUGAAGAUUCUAAUUAUAUUUAUCUGGCUCAUUUUUCUGCCCAAAAAUUGCAAUAUACCUAAAAAGUCCAUCAAAAGUUUUUGGCUGCAGUUCUGCAAGGAGGUUUCUUGAAAGAUCCAAAUCCUCGAGCAAUUUCAAGCCUCUGAACACACUUUCGGGCAGGUUGACCAGUUUGUUGCCCGAUACAUGCAACACCACAAGCCUCGUCAGACCCUCGAAUUGGUUUUCCGUCAGUUGGUUGAGCAAAUUGGACGAUAGAUCCCUUGAAUGAUAAUUUUAUUAUGUGCGAAUAUAUUUCGAUUUUAAUUAUGCGACUCACAAUGUGGACAAAUUGAUUAGGCGGAGCAAGAGUCUGUCCGGCAAUUCUUCCAAUCUAUUCUGGUGCAGUCGUCUGGAAAAAUUGGCACUCACGUCAAGUUAUGUACAGGCAUUGGACGAAAAUUCGCUUUUUUCACUCACAAAUGUCUCAAGCUUUCCAAGUCGGCGAACAAAACACUUGGCAAGUGAUCGAUCUGAUUGUCAAACAGGUCUCUUUAAAUGAUAAAUUAAUUUUAUAAUUUAAUUGUGCAAAAUCUAUUGAAAUCUCACAGUUCAGUUAGAUGUGUCAGCCCUUGGAAAGCAGUUUUGUGAAUUCCAGCCAGUCGAUUUAAUCCCAGGUCUCUAAAAUUCACUUACAAUUUUUCAUGAUUUUGUUUUAAAAAUUUAUAAGUACAUGACUUUGGUAUCUCGGGGAACACUUUGGGCAGUGGGCAACUCUGAAAGCGACUGUUGCCAACAACUGAGGCUUCUGGUUUCAGGGCGACACCGGCAGGGCCCUUCUGUGCAUUGGUUCCACCUUAGGGCACCGUGAGCCACAGGCCAAACUGACAAAAUUUAUAAUAAAUUCCUUUUUUUUUUUUUUUUUCUUAAUUCAUGAAUUUUCUUACCAGGUUGUUCUAAGGAUUUAAUUCUCUUCUCCAGAGAUCUCACGAGUUUGUGGAGACUUUCAACUUUGUUUUCCAGUUCUAAUACUUGGUUUUCUUUUUCCUCUUCAUCAACAUCAUCCUUAUUAAUUUAAAUUUACUUAUUACUUUUAAUCCUGUUUACUUUUAAUUAAUUUUUUAAUCACGCAAAAUUGCAAGUUCAUUAGAUUUUUUUUUAAUAUUAACAGUUUUAAAACAUCAAAAUUUAUUUUUUAAAUAACCUUGUGAUUUUGCCGAAACGGAUGCACUUGGCGCAGUAAAAGGAGCAAAAGCAGCAGUGAACGCCUCAUCUCUGGACCCCUUGCUUGCACUGACUGAUGACCAGCAUCCUGCAGGCCAGCAGCGCCGGGUAGAUUAAAAAGUAGCGACCUCGCUGUCAAUUAAUUAGAUCUUUGCUCGCGCAUCAAUUGAGUUGUAUUUUUGGAAGCUUCCAGCUGUUGAUCAAUUUCACAGGCCAGGGUCAAUUAAUUGUUAGUCCGUGUUAGUCUUUUUGCGUCGAAUUCUCUUCAUAUUUUUAACAAUCUCAUAUAAUAUGUACAUAAUUUUUUUAAUUAAAAUUUUUUUAAUUUAAGGAAUAUAUCGGAAUAUAUCUAGGUCUCUCAGCGAAAAUUAAAUAGGAAGAAAAGAGAAUGGCAAAUUUUUAUUAUUCCAUUUAAAUAUGCACACUUUUAAUUAAAUUUUGAAUUCAAAAUGACAAAGAUUCCAUAAUCAAGUCAAAGCCCAGUUGCUUCCCUUUAAUAUCUAGAGAGGAGGUGCGUUGUUAUGAUUCAUAAGCGUGACCCACUUAUUGCCUGUCGCCUACUCAGGCAAUUGUGGCACGGAACAGAUUUAUCAAUAAUUUGUAUUGUUUCGACACUCGCAGCAAAUCACAUGUAUGGAUAUAUCGAUGCCCACAGCAUAAGCAGCAAAAUACCGCCAGCUGCUCUUAUGCAUGUGAGCUCUGCGCAAAAUUUAUAAAUCAAUUUUCCAGGGUCUCUCACUCAACUUUGUCCUCAUACGGUUAUAUGGGAGUUAUUGCAAUGAUAAAAAAUAUAUGUAGACGAGGGAAACUUUGGACAAGGACAAUUGAAUAUAAUUUAUAUUUUAUUCUCCUUUCCAUUGCAUUUCAUAAAUUUAUUACACCAAAGUUUUAUAAUUAAAGAAUUAAUCGGCGCGAAGAUUUUUUCGUUCGGAAAGUUACACAAUGUUGUAUUAUAUAAAAUAUUAAAAAUAAUCUGCAUUUUUUAUAUGAAAAUUUUGUGAAAAAGUUAAAAAGUUUAUGCAGCUUUUGGGAAAGUACAUUGACUGAUUUUCCCAUCCAAUUAAAGUGUAUAAUUUUCAUCACACUAACUUGACGUUGAAAAUCUGAUUUAUAAAGAAGUUUGGCCUCACUAAAUGUUUCCAAAAUAAGUCACUUGUAAACUUAUUUUUUGCUUAAAUAAGUUGACGUUCUUGAGUGAAAAACGGGCUUUAUCCUUGUUGAAAAUUUCUUGCAUUAAAAAACCAAAACGGCUACAAAUAUAUUCAACAAGGAAAAUGUAGCUUUUCAGGGUGUGACAAUGAGUAAUGAUAAAGAAAAACCAUUUUUUUCAUAUAAAUCGUUUAUGUAGGUCAUACAUAUAUUUGCUAGAUUUUUCUUGUCCUCACAGGAACGAGAGGAAAAUGAUGACGAGUCCUCCACUCUCAUAUUUACAAACUCACGCAGCACAGACUAAGUAUUUGCAGCUUUCAAUGCUCCUCUCAUGAGCUCUUUCAGAGACAGAUAUGGGAGCAGUGUGUUUUAUCCCAGCAAGGACGGAAGACAGAGGAAACUUCUUCUUUGUCGCAAUUGAAAGAGAGGACGACGAGUUUCUGUAGCGCGCACUUUAUUACAAGGCACAGAUUUUCCUUUGCUGCACAUGAGAAGAUGACGAUUAUUGUUUUUCAUUCGCAAUCGCACACACAUAUAUCACUAUUUUCUAUAUAGUCAACUCAUUUCGUAAUACAUUUUUACUAGCAAAUUAAAAAAAAAAAAUAU